rnacentral:lncRNA from 1 species
AUGACAGAUGUGCCAGAAAUAAGAGUCGCUCAGCUGGUGGAGCUUGAUGAAAUCCAGGAUGAUAUAUCUGAGCAUUGCACCAGGGCCUCUACACCUACAUCAGAGCAUGGGCCUAGUGAACAUCACCAGGAAGCAAGGGUAGAUGCAUGGGUCACUAGGAGAAAUCCUGUGGGGGAAGUAACAUCACUGAUUAGUUCACUUUAUAUCUCAGAUCCGGAAGAGAAUGAACAAAGCAUUGGAGAUGAGGGAGACACAUCAUAUCUCACACUUCCCGUUCUUACUACUAUUACCAAUGAUUUGGGGUCGGUCAUGGACAGAUUAAAUACACUUGAGACUGACUUUAGAGAUUCGCUUAAUAGUGCAUUGAACAGAGAAGUGGGCAUAAGGAGUUAUGUUAACAGGAGUGUUGAGGUGCUUGAGCAAUGCAUGAUAUCAACAUUAAAACAGUUUGAGGAAAAAUUUGUGGAUUGCUUGCAAAGGCGUGAUGAAAAGUGGAAAGCAGAACAUGAACGACUGAAGCGAGCCAGCCGUGUUGCUCUCCCUAGGUCUCUUCUACGCACAGGAAUUACUCUUCUUCCACCACAUAGCCGCUCUACUCCUGCCCAAGCUUCAUCCAGUGCUUUUACACAAACUGCAGCUCCUCUGGGUAUAGACGCACAUGUAAUGAGCCCGUCUAUUAGCAGAAUCUCUUCAUCUCGGCUUAACAACAUUACAGCUCCUGUUAUGGCGUCUAGUUCUGACAAUAUUGAUCAAUCUUCAAAUCCUUAUGCUCGAGGGUUCAUUCCAUGUCCACCCGUUCUACCCGGUGCACCGCUUCAGACCCCAUUCAAUGGAGCACUUUCGCAUCCACCUAUACAGUCUUUCAUGCCAAGCACCAGUAUCUCACCUUCGUUGGGUGUUUCAUGUAGUCAAGACAUCAGACCUCCUGUGGUUUAUUCACGACCAGUUAUUCAGAUGGAGUUUCCUUCAUUUAGUGGAUCUAGGGAGGUGGCCGAUGUUCUUAACUUUGUUGAUCUCUGCAAAACAUUCUUUGCAGUACGGCCUUUGUCUGGUGCAGAGCUAAUAGGCGCCCUAUCUAACACUCUUAAAGGGCCAGUACAUAGCUGGUGGAUGGUGGCGAAACACAGGGUGAACAACUGGUCAGAGUUUAAGAAAGCCUUUAUGGAUGCCUUUCUUACCCCUGAUUACCUCAUUGAGGUAGAAGAAUAG